rnacentral:rRNA from 1 species
UACGUAGGGGGCGAGCGUUAUUCGGAUUUACUGGGCGUAAAGCGUGCGCAGGCGGUUGUGCAAGACCGAUGUGAAAUCCCCGGGCUUAACCUGGGAACUGCAUUGGUGACUGCACGGCUAGAGUGUGUCAGAGGGGGGUAGAAUUCCACGUGUAGCAGUGAAAUGCGUAGAGAUGUGGAGGAAUACCGAUGGCGAAGGCAGCCCCCUGGGAUAACACUGACGCUCAUGCACGAAAGCGUGGGGAGCAAACAGG